rnacentral:rRNA from 14 species
CCAGCAGCCGCGGUAAUACGGAGGGUGCAAGCGUUAAUCGGAAUUACUGGGCGUAAAGCGCGCGUAGGUGGUUUGAUAAGCGAGAUGUGAAAGCCCCGGGCUUAACCUGGGAACGGCAUUUCGAACUGUCAGGCUAGAGUAUGGUAGAGGGUAGUGGAAUUUCCUGUGUAGCGGUGAAAUGCGUAGAUAUAGGAAGGAACACCAGUGGCGAAGGCGGCUACCUGGACCAAUACUGACACUGAGGUGCGAAAGCGUGCUGAG